UCUGUUGUGUUGAAGACUGGACUGGCGAAGUUAUGAAUUUACUUGCAACUCCGAGUUAUUGCAGUUUGUGAGCGGAGCGGACAACUGAACCGAGGAGCACAGGCAUACAAGUAUGUCCAUCCUAAACUACUGUUAACAUCCUUCUUCAAAGAGUCGACGGAUUCUCUGUUCAUUAUGGCUGAUAUCACUGCAACCCCGGCAGACAUCGAGGGGGAAGAGAGUCUUCCAGACACACCCAGAAUAAUUAUGCUUGAAGCGCAUUUUGGAGGUCACACACUGAUGUUGGACGAGGCGACUGGCUCUCAGGAUCCGCUCUAAUUCAUCCCAAAGGUGUUCUAUUGAGUUGAGGUCAGGACCCUGUGCAGGCCAGUCAAGUUCAUCCAGACCAAACUCUGUUAUC